rnacentral:rRNA from 1 species
UAGGGAAUCUUCCACAAUGGACGCAAGUCUGAUGGAGCAACGCCGCGUGAGUGAAGAAGGUCUUCGGAUCGUAAAGCUCUGUUGUUGGUGAAGAAGGAUAGAGGCAGUAACUGGUCUUUAUUUGACGGUAAUCAACCAGAAAGUCACGGCUAACUACGUGCCAGCAGCCGCGGUAAUACGUAGGUGGCAAGCGUUGUCCGGAUUUAUUGGGCGUAAAGCGAGCGCAGGCGGAAUGAUAAGUCUGAUGUGAAAGCCCACGGCUCAACCGUGGAACUGCAUCGGAAACUGUCAUUCUUGAGUGCAGAAGAGGAGAGUGGAACUCCAUGUGUAGCGGUGGAAUGCGUAGAUAUAUGGAAGAACACCAGUGGCGAAGGCGGCUCUCUGGUCUGCAACUGACGCUGAGGCUCGAAAGCAUGGGUAGCGAACAGGAUUAGAUACCCUGGUAGUCCAUGCCGUAAACGAUGAGCGCUAGGUGUUGGGGACUUUCCGGUCCUCAGUGCCGCAGCAAA